rnacentral:rRNA from 1 species
GAUGAACGCUGGCGGUAUGCUUAACACAUGCAAGUCGAACGAAAGUUUUUAACUUUAGUGGCGAACGGGUGCGUAAUACGUGAGAAUCUGCCCUUAGGAAGAGGAUAACUGCUGGAAACGGCUGCUAAUACUCUAUAUGUCGAGAGAUGAAAUAACUUUGUUGCCUAGGGAUGAGCUCGCGCCUGAUUAGCUAGUUGGUGAGGUAAUGGCUCACCAAGGCCACGAUCAGUAGCUGGUUUGAGAGAACGAUCAGCCACACUGGGACUGAGACACGGCCCAGACUCCUCCGGGAGGCAGCAGUGAGGAAUUUUCCGCAAUGGGCGAAAGCCUGACGGAGCAAUACCGCGUGAGGGAUGAAGGAUUUUGGUCUGUAAACCUCUUUUCUCAAGAAAGAAGUUCUGACGGUACUUGAGGAAUAAGCAUCGGCUAACUCCGUGCCAGCAGCCGCGGUAAUACGGGGGAUGCAAGCGUUAUCCGGAAUCAUUGGGCGUAAAGCGCCUGUAGGUUGUUUAAUAAGUCUGUUGUUAAAGACUAGGGCUCAACCCUAGAAAAGCAAUGGAAACUAUUAGACUAGAGUAUGGCAGGGGUAGAGGGAAUUUCUAGUGUAGCGGUGAAAUGCGUAGAUAUUAGAAAGAACACCAGCGGCGAAAGCGCUCUACUGGACCAUUACUGACACUCAGAGGCGAAAGCUAGGGUAGCAAAAGGGAUUAGAUACCCCUGUAGUCCUAGCCGUAAACGAUGGAUACUAGAUGUUGUGCUUCCGUACAGUAUCGUAGCUAACGCGUUAAGUAUCCCGCCUGGGGGAGUACGCUCGCAAGGGUGAAACUCAAAGGAAUUGACGGGGGCCCGCACAAGCGGUGGAGCAUGUGGUUUAAUUCGAUGCAACGCGAAGAACCUUACCAGGGCUUGACAUACUACAGAUUCUUUAGAAGAUGG